rnacentral:lncRNA from 1 species
GUGCAUAAAUAACUACAAAACCAGGCUGACUUUGAUAGACUCAUCAAGUGCUUAGGCCAGGAAACUUACAGAAGGGAAGGAGUAGUUCUAAAUGCUGGGAUCUGGAAAAGUACUUUGGAAUUGGUGCCAUCUGAGGUGAAGCUGGAAGGAAGCUCCUUUUCAAAAAGCAGUCCCUCAGUGAGCUCAUCUGCUCUCAGGAAUUCAUCCAUUGCUGCUGUGCGGAUGCUUCAAAGUCUAACCACAUGAACCAUCAGUUACCAGCCAUCUACUACCUGAUGAAAGGGAGCAAAAGCGAACACAGGGCCCUCAUCUUGAAAAAUGCACCAACUUCCAG